UACGUAGGGGGCUAGCGUUGUCCGGAAUCAUUGGGCGUAAAGCGCGCGUAGGCGGCCAGAUAAGUCCGGUGUGAAAGUCACAGGCUCAACCUGUGAAUGCCGCUGGAAACUGUCUGGCUAGAGUCCGGAAGGGGCGAGUGGAAUCCUGGUGUAGCGGUGAAAUGCGCAGAUAUCAGGAGGAACACCGAUGGCGAAGGCAGCCCCCUGGGUUAACACUGACGCUCAGGCACGAAAGCGUGGGGAGCAAACAGG
rnacentral:rRNA from 1 species